CAGGCUGCGGCGGAGCGAGCGGGGCCAGCGCUGCAGAAGGCGGCGGCUCGAGCGCUGGAACGGUCACAUCCCGCUGCAGGCGCCGGCGGAGACGGCCGCACAGCCUCCCGCACCCGCACCCGCACCCAGGCCGGCGGGCAGGCGGUGCACCGCCCUUGCUCACGGACAGACUACGCCGCCGGUCCCAGCUCUGGGGGCCCUGCAACCAGCGCUCGCUACGCCUCCGCUCUCUGCCCGCAGCUCGGCCCCGUGCUACCCGCCUCGACGGGCCCGGGCCGGGAUGGGGUAGGGGCCGCACCGCCAACUCGGGCGAUGGGUCGCCCACUAGGCACCCCCCCGAGGCCUGACCGACCGCGAGGACCGGCGGAGGAGCCCCGCCUGGAUGUCUAGCGGAUGCCUCGGUGCCUCCUAGCGGACUCGGUGGGGACCAUGGCUUCGCUGAUGCCCCUCUCCCCUUAUCUAAGUCCCACGGUCCUCCUGCUGGUCAGCUGUGACCUGGGCUUUGUGCGAGCAGACCGGCCUCCAUCUCCUGUGAAUGUGACAGUCACUCACCUCAGAGCCAACUCGGCCACUGUGUCCUGGGACGUCCCAGAAGGCAACAUCGUCAUUGGCUACUCCAUUUCCCAGCAACGACAGAAUGGCCCAGGACAGCGGGUGAUCCGCGAGGUGAACACCACCACUCGGGCCUGUGCCCUCUGGGGCCUGGCCGAAGACAGCGACUACACCGUGCAGGUCAGAAGCAUCGGCCUUCGCGGGGAGAGCCCCCCGGGGCCCCGGGUGCACUUCCGAACUCUCAAGGGCUCUGACCGGCUGCCUUCAAACAGCUCGAGCCCAGGUGACAUCACAGUGGAGGGUCUGGAUGGAGAGCGACCACUGCAGACAGGGGAAGUGGUCAUCAUUGUGGUGGUGUUGCUCAUGUGGGCUGCUGUCAUAGGGCUGUUCUGCCGUCAGUACGAUAUCAUCAAGGACAACGACUCCAACAACAACCCCAAGGAGAAAGGGAAGGGGCCAGAGCAGAGUCCUCAGGGAAGGCCAGUGGGGACAAGACAGAAAAAGUCACCAUCCAUCAACACCAUAGACGUAUGAAGAAACAGAACCAGAAGAGAGAUGCACUAACAACCUGGGGAUGGGGAUGGGGUCAGGGAGAGCGUACGAUGGUGAUCAGCCCAAGAUGGAAGGAUCCCACAGUAUCCCAGAAGAUAAUGACACUCCCACAAUCUCAGGCCUGGUACCCAUCCUCUUUCCACUGUGAAUAGGGCCAGAAGGUUCUUGGACAAAAUGGAGCUGACUGUAUAGUAUGCUGAAGACGUUUCCCCAUCUUCUCUGACUACAAGGGCCCCUCACACUACCACCAACUUGAUGGGAGCAAACUCUCAUUUUAAAGUGUUUGCUUUGAUUCUCCAGCCUGGGAUGGGUGGAGAGGGGCCAGAAACGGGUAUAGGAAACCAGAGCCCUAGUUCCUUUUGCUUUGUUGGGCCAGAAAGGGGAGAAGGAAAGAAGAGGAUAUAAAUUCUUCCUGUACCAGUGGAAACUAAAGUUACAUCACAUGAGAGGGCUGGGAGCCUUGUCAUCAGCAGCUCAGCUCCUCACCAUUUAUUCCUGUGACUCCUCCAUCAAACCUGAGCUAGUUUUCAGAAAAGGACUGAAAAGUGUCUUGGGACAAAUGAAAGAGCAGCUACACUAAUGGAUCCCUCGGUGCUACGUGCUCCUCCUGUGUGUUCCUGUGCCUAUUCUUCCCUGUCCUUAAUUCCCCUUUUGUCUCUCUCUCUGUUCACUCAGUCACGUUCAAUAAUAACUGUAAAGCAUAAAUGACGUUACGUUCACUCUCUGCCACCAUAUCCAGAGGAGGAUUCUGGAAAUAAAGUUGAAGGGUUCAAACUCCCCUGUUAAAAGAACUAUAA